GGACACUAUACAGAUGUAGACUGACAGUUUACUGGUCACCUGCACUAACAGCCUGAGAGAAAAGGACACUGCAUAUCACAGAGAGAUGCAUAGAUGUUACACUCAGAAAGAGAGUGAACAACUAGAAGAUGUGGAAGGCAAGCUUUUUAGUAUUAAGAGGAAAAUUCCAAGGGCCAAUUUUGAAACAAACCAGGCAGAGACCCAGAUGCAGAAUCCUGCAGGCUGAGGGAUGUUAGGAAGAGUUAGCCCACCACUGCUGCGCUGAAACCAGGAUGACGCAAACUGGGCCUCAGGCCAGUAGAUCAAUAAACCAAACUCCCUGUCACCUCAGACUCUGCACCUGUUAAAGCCCUGUAAAGAGCCGACAUGUAAGGACUUAUACUGACUGGAUACAGAGAAUAUGGAGCAAAUCAAACGUAUUUAAAUAGUAAAUUAUCAUAUUGUUAUAAAUAAAAAU
rnacentral:lncRNA from 10 species